rnacentral:tRNA from 1 species
GACAGCUUGGGAUAAUGGUUUGAGUAUUGGACUUCAACUCUGGAGACCAGGGUUCGAUUCCCAGCUCAGCCA